rnacentral:rRNA from 1 species
UGGGGAAUUUUGGACAAUGGGCGAAAGCCUGAUCCAGCAAUGCCGCGUGUGUGAAGAAGGCCUUCGGGUUGUAAAGCACUUUUGUCCGGAAAGAAAUCCUUGGCUCUAAUACAGUCGGGGGAUGACGGUACCGGAAGAAUAAGCACCGGCUAACUACGUGCCAGCAGCCGCGGUAAUACGUAGGGUGCAAGCGUUAAUCGGAAUUACUGGGCGUAAAGCGUGCGCAGGCGGUUUGCUAAGACCGAUGUGAAAUCCCCGGGCUCAACCUGGGAACUGCAUUGGUGACUGGCAGGCUAGAGUAUGGCAGAGGGGGGUAGAAUUCCACGUGUAGCAGUGAAAUGCGUAGAGAUGUGGAGGAAUACCGAUGGCGAAGGCAGCCCCCUGGGCCAAUACUGACGCUCAUGCACGAAAGCGUGGGGAGCAAACAGGAUUAGAUACCCUGGUAGUCCACGCCCUAAACGAUGUCAACUAGUUGUUGGGGAUUCAUUUUCCUUAGUAACGUAGCUAACGCGUGAAGUUGACCGCCUGGGGAGUACGGUCGCAAGAUUAAAACUCAAAUGAAUUGACGGGGUCAUAGCUGUUUCCU